rnacentral:rRNA from 1 species
UAGUAACGGCGAGCGAACCGGGAAGAGCUCAAAUUUGAAAUCUGGCGUCCCACGGGCGUCCGAGUUGUAAUCUGCAGAGGCGUCUUCCGCCCCGGACCGCGUCCAAGUCCCUUGGAACAGGGUAUCAAAGAGGGUGACAAUCCCGUGCUUGACGSGACCCCCGGUGCUAUGUGAUGCGACCUCAAAGAGUCGAGUUGUUUGGGAAUGCAGCUCAAAACGGGUGGUAAAUUCCAUCUAAGGCUAAAUAUUGGCGAGAGACCGAUAGCGAACAAGUACCGUGAGGGAAAGAUGAAAAGCACUUUGGAAAGAGAGUUAAACAGUACGUGAAAUUGUUGGAAGGGAAACGAUUGAAGUCAGUCGUGUCCGAGGGGUUCAGCCGGUCCUGCCGGUGCACUCCCCUCGGRCGGGUCAACAUCGGUUCUGUCCGGCGGACAAGGGCAGGGGGAACGUGGCACCCUCGUGGUGUGUUAUAGCCCCCCGUCGCAUACGUCGGUCGGGACCGAGGAUCGCAGCUCGCCCUCACGGGCCGGGGUUGGCCCACGUCCGAGCUUA